CUACGUAGGGAGCGAGCGUUGUCCGGAAUUACUGGGCGUAAAGGGCGCGAAGGCCGCGAUUCAAGUCAACUGUCAAAUUCCGGGGCUUAACCCCGGCCUGCAGUUGAAACUGAAUUGCUCGAGGCGCAGAGAGGCAGACAGAAUUCCUGGUGUAGCGGUGAAAUGCGUAGAUAUCAGGAAGAAUACCAGUGGCGAAGGCGGUCUGCUGGCUGCGAACUGACGCUCAAGCGCGAAAGCCAGGGGAGCAAACGGGAUUAGAUACCCCGGUAGUCCUGGCAGUAAACGAUGUAUGCUGGGUGUGAGAUCAGCGAUGAUUUCGUGCCGAAGUUAACGCGAUAAGCAUACCACCUGGGGAGUACGGUCGCAAGAUUGAAACUCAAAUGAAUUGACGGGG
rnacentral:rRNA from 1 species